ensembl:lncRNA
CUCCUCCGAGGCUGCGGUGAUUGGCCGGCCAGCGACCGCUCCCAUAAUGCAGCGCAGGGCGCGUCACUGAAAAGAGACCAUCCCAUCUGCGACGCUGCAGCCUUCAUGAGGGAGCGCUCGGCUGGAGAACGCGGCCGAGAUUGUGAUGGCACCACCCUUCGUGGUUGGUAAUGAACAACGCCAACGCGCAGAGCUCGUAUUCUUACCAUUUAGGAAAUCCUAAUGACCAUUUGCAGUUUUCACGCGUAUUUUGGUAUUUCACGCUUUGGAAGUAACAGCUGAAGAGAAGUGAGGCAAAUUUGUGAAAAUUGUGAUCAGUGGUUCGUUGCCACCUGCCUCAGGUGUCUGCUGAGAGGAGCUAACCUCUUUGUGGUGCUAGAGCAAGGUCACUGCAUAAAGAAAAAGAACACAAAUGAAUUAAGUGGACCAUGUCCUCUUUCGCACUGCCCCAGCUAUAAUGCAAAGAGUUGGCUAAGAGUGGAUGCUUUUGGAAAAAGUGAGCAUCUAGUCACUGCCAACAUUCCCUUUAAACUAUGUCUUGCAAAGGUAAACCACCAAGAUUAUGUUUGGGAAGAGAUUCUAUCAGCAGUAGCGCCAAUUGUAAAACGACGAUCGCUAGAUAAAUACAUUGACUGCAAAAGCCUUUUUCAUGAAGUGAGUCAGUUGAUAAGUAGUGGCAAACCCACUGUGCAGCCACGGCCUGUUCCGUUCUAACGGCACUAUUUAGUGACUAUCUCGAGUGCAAGUAAAACUAGCAACUAUGGACUGAGCACGGAAUUCCACGGUAACUGGUAACUAUAAAACGUCUUUCUUUCAGGAAGAAGACCUUCGUGAAAUCUUCACGUUCGCUGUUGAAGGUCUGCCGGAGUUCAUCAGGAGGGACAACCUCGGUGCUCAGAUGGCUUUGGUAUUUCAGCUUCACCUUGAGCUGCUGGUCAGCCUGGGCUUUGCUUUCUCAGCAAAAUCCCACAAGCCCAUUACAACUGUGUGUCCUUCUGGCUCCCUUCUGGGCAGGACGCCCAGCCGCUUGGAUUUGUAAUGAUGCAGGGCCUGGCCAGCCCGGAUCCUACCUUGUCUCACUCAAAGAACAUGACGUCUUAAAGGAACAUGGAGCGGCUCCUGUGAACUACUGUUCCUGGAAACACUAGUCGUCCCAUGGACAGCCCGUCUUGGAAAGCAUAUAGCUUUGUGUCCCCUGCCUGUAUAAGCAACCCCCUCCCUACGCCUGGUAGCGGGUGCACAUUUCCAUCCAGCUGGCCACCACUGGACAUCCGGAUAAGUAAUUCCCAGUAAACCUAUAUGUCUCGUUCCCCAUCUCUGGAUUUUUUCUUCAGUCUCUCUGUGACUUACCCCACACUGCUCACCCAACUGGUCUGUGGCCAGACAAUGCCAAUCAAGUCUCUAGCUCGAACUUUCUUCUUCCAAGUUUGGGCAGACGUUAUUUGGCUAUGUUUGAAUCUUCACAAAAUGUACUGUUAAAGCCAACAGAAUCCUGGUGGGUGACUAUUCUGGACAGCAAAGUUAUGAAGCUUUUUCUCACAGUAUGUGGAAAAAAAGAUUUAGAUAUGGCACAAGAUUCUUUGCAGUGCCUUGCCCAGUUUACUUCUCUUCAUGGACCUAUCUUCCGUCGUGAAGGAUCACAAAUUGAUUAACACACUUCAUUGAAAGAUUACUGAAUACUAUCAAUGAAAUGGAAAUAGAAGAUUCUGAAGUUGUGGGGAUCUCCAGCAUCAUCAGCAAUCUGUUAACAGUAUUUCCUUGAAAUGUUUAAUUGCCGUUCCAAAUGAACUUUUCUCCUCCUUUGUUAACUGCCACACACCUCACUUGUUCUUUUGGGUGAAGUGCUGCAUUGGAAGAAGUCUUGAUAAAGAUGACAUGGCAUAUACCUGGAAGCAUAUGGCAAAAUGCUGGAGUCCUGGCUAACUGCUCCAACAUGAUAAACAUUUCUAUAAAGACUUUUUUACCCAACAUGCUGUUCAAGUUUUCAGUUCUUUUAUUCAGUGCCACCUAGCUGCUCCAAAUGGCACAAGGAAUUUAACUGUCAAUGGUGUGGACUCUCGUGAGGAAGAAGAAAUAGGUGAAUGUCAAGAGGAUGAUCGAGGGCAGUUUUCAGAUCCACAGGCCAGUGAAGGAAUGCUAGGAAGAAUUGCUUCAGAACACUGUAUACCUCUUCUGACAAGAACCUGGUACCUGGUAGACGUUGGAUGUUUCCUUCUCCUGUUCUAGUGAUGAGGACACAAGUGGAAUGGUCAUUUCUUUCAGGGGGAAAAGAAACCCUCACUAAAAGAGAAUGCCGACAACAGUGCAUUUUGCAAAGCCUGAAUUAUUCAAUCUGGAGUGUCAUAAGGAAAAUGAGAGACAAUGUGACAGUGACGAUAUGUAAAGCGGUAUUGACUAAAUAUAUCCCAAAACUUAAGAAAGGCACCAAUCCACAAAAUGAAGACUUUCAACAAAAUUCCAAGCAGUAUCAGGAAAAAGAAAUCCAGGCUGAGACACAACAUAGCGAAAGUGCAGAUCACCAGAGAAAACAAAAACAUCAAAGGAAACAGUCAAUGAGAAAUAGUCAGAAAAACUGAAUUGCCUUUGAAGAAUCAACAACCAGACCAAAAGCUAUCUUGCUAACAGCAGUUAAAGCCAGAAGACAGUAGAGUGGUGUCAUUAAUGGGCUGAGAGAUAAAGAUGUUAACCUAGAAAUCUAUAGAAAGGAAAAUGUGGUUUCAGAGAAAAAAAAAAAGUCUUUGCUAUUGGCAGAAUCUCACAAAAGGAACAAAAUACUGGCUGAAAAGUCCAGGAUGCAAAAAGAAAUAAACACCUGUAUUAAUCUGUU